rnacentral:lncRNA from 1 species
GGGAAUCAUUUGUGGGAUGAGAGCCCAGCCAAGGACGUCGGGCAGCUGUCGGCGGCCCUGCCUCCCGCCCCAGCGGACCCAUCCGGAGUCUGUGCCCAUAUAAGGGCAUCGCUUCCCUUCUGGGUUGUUCUCUGAUUAUCUCCAUCUUGAAGAUGAACGAGCUGAAGCUUAAGUAACCUGCCAAGGUCACACUGUCAGAGACGGGUAGAGCUGAGAUCUGCACCCAGGGUGCUCCAGAGUCACCUUUCCUGAUUCUUCCCAGGAUGUCAAGCGUCUCUGUCACCUGGUCUGAUGGAUUGAGAAGUCCUUCAGGAUGGCUGGCUCCCUUUGCACCCUUGCUCUGCAUUUGCGGACAUCACCAGGAGGGAAUUGGUGGCUCCAGCAAAUUCCUGACACCAGCCUUAAUGACAAACCCACUCUCCCUGUAAACAAACACGGUAGUUUUCUGUUUGCCCAUCCACCUCCUGUGUGGUUGGCAUGAGCUGGGCCUCCAGAUAUUAAGCAACUCUGAAUGACCUAAAAACGAAAUCAAGUUGUAGACCUGUCAAGCUAAGACAGGCCCUGUUGUUUUCUCCAAGGUUUCGCCUCUGGGAAUUGGGGUGGUGGUGGGGCACAGACUACCCAAAGAACAAGUUAAGACUUGGAACAUGGAAUCAGAGCUACUUGCUGUGUGUCCUGAGAUAAGUUCCUUAACUUCUCUGAACUUCAUCUUCCGAUUUACCUCACAGAAUAAAGGUAGGUGAAAUAACUUGGUGAACUAAAGUGCUUUGUGAUCUUCUCUGCUGCAUCAUUGGCAACUGUGUGUGCCUGCCUGGCCAGUGGCCCCUUCAGAGGUGCGGUGGGGCCUUGCUCCUGUCAUCUACCUAGAAAAUUCUUCUGCCUUUUUAUGACUCCGAGUGAGUGUCUUUUCCUUCAGGCUCUGGGAGGCAGGUUCUGUCCCCUCUCCCCAGUAGGAGGAUCUUCAGGGCUUGUCACUCUGUGGAGAUGGUCCAGCAUUCAUGCUCCUCUGUAAGCUCCUUAUUUGUACCCUUAACUUUGGAAGGAGGGGUUCAUGGUGAUCCUUUUGUAAGUGUUUAAAAGGGGCUACCCUGGGCAGUCAGGAAGCCGGAAGAGAGCUGCUGAAGGGGCAGUGGGAAGGGACUUAGCAAUUUGUCUACUUUGCGGUUUGAAUUCACCUUCUCUGCACUGUGUGGCCACAGGCCCUUCUGGACACAGCCUGAUUCCUUGGUGGAAUAUCAUUCUGCAAGCUGUUCUUGCCUGUGGUUUCCAGAGGGGAGAAUGGCAUCUCCCUCUCAGGCCAGAGAGGCCCUGUCCCCAUCAAAUGCCCACUUGCAGGUUCAUUCCUGAGGCUCAGCAGGUGACAGAGGCCAGGCUGGCUGCCCUGAAUUGAGCAAUCACUUGCCUCUGGGUGAGACAGUGAUCUAGCUGAGCUUUUUGUUUUGCGUUUCGUUUUGUUUUGUUUUGCCUUCUUGUCCAAGAACCUAAGGGCUGUUUUGCAACCCCUUGGCUCCUUUCCUUUGGCCAGAGAAGCAAGGGAGGCUUCCUCCAUCCUGGCCCAUGCUGACCUGGAGAGCAGGAAAGAGCAGCGGGUGGGGGGUUGCUUCAGAGGUCAGGGGCUGGGCCACGUCCAGGGACUGUCUCCUGAGGCGGCCCAAGUGGAUCCUACCUCUUGCAGGAUCUGCAAGAAUGACUCCUUUCUGGGCAGAGCAAGGAGGUGAGUGGUUCUGGACUCGUCUGCAGCACCAGCAGCAUCUUCUCCAAGCAUAGAAAAUGUCUGGCCUGGCCACUGCUUGUGGCCCAGGACCUGAGAUGAUCGGAGAAGCCCCCUCCCACCACUCAGAACAAAGCCUGGAGGCACCCAGGCAGUCCCCCAGACUGCCACUCACAGGCUUCCCUGCGCUCAAGUACUUCCAAACAUACAUGCCCGGGGGAAGUCAGAUGGUGAGAAACAAACAACAAUCAACCAUAGAGACUUCUGGGGACCAGAUGUUUUUUUCUGGGCUGCCUAGGACUUACCUUCUCUGGAGCAACACCUGCUGAGAGCCAACUUUUCUCAACCCCUGGCCAGGCCACUUCCAGCCAGGGCAGCUCAAGGACCAAAACAGAGGCCUGGCUCCCCCUGCUGAUCAGCCUAGGCACCCACAUCAGGUUUGGUGACAGCAAAUAUCACCUCUGGAUCCUAUCACCUGUACAGAGACCAAUAAGAACAAUUCACGUCUUCCCCCUUCUCCUUGUCUUCCAGGGAAUUAGAAUAAUUUGGAAUUUGGAAUUAGAAUUUGGGAGUUCAUUCUCCCAAAGUCAGGAUUCACCUCCCUAUAGCGUGGAAGGAAAAAUGAGGCUCAGAGAGAUUAAGUGACCCUCCCAGGAUCACACAGCAAUUUGGGGCCAGCCCUGGGGUUGGCCUCCUCCACUGUAGAUCAGUGAGGAGGCAGACAGGGAGGCCCCUCAGACUCUGUGGUAGGAACAGUCCUCAGGUUGCUUUGGGUGACCCAGGCAGUACCCAUCCUGUGGAAUAAGUGCCUAGUCGGUUGGGGGUCCUGGUGUAGGAACCAGGGGCCCAGGAGAAGGGACCUGCAACACCCUCACUGGGAACUUUUACUUAUGAGGGAGACAGGACAGGUGGGUCUACCAAGAAGUCACAUCCCGCCCCAAACGUGGAGCGGCGCUGAAUUUACACAAUGGUGGCUGGGGCACUUCUGAUGCUACAGCCGAGCAUUUUUUGGCAGGGAGUGGGUGCCAAGCCUAGGUCAUUGCCUCCUCAUAGGGAGUCCCCUGUGUCACUCUCCUCCAUACUCAGCAUUGCCAGGAUUCUAAGAGACACUUUUGUGUCCUUCUGGUAGGGGCCACUCCUUUUUUCGUUUUUGCUUUUUCCUUUAAGGGCCACACUCUCGGCCCAUGGAGGUUCCCAGGCUAGGGGUCAAAUGAGAGCUAUAGUCACUGGCUUACGCCACCAGCCACAGCAACAUGGGAUCCAAGCUGCAUCUGCGACCUACACCAUAGCUCAUAGCAACACCAGAUCCUUAACCCACUGAGCGAGGCCAGGUAUUGAAUCUGCUUCCUCAUGGAUCCUAGUCAGAUUCAUUAACAGCUGGGCCAUGAAGGGAACUAACUCCUAGGGGCCCCACUUUUUGAGGCAGGGUCCAUGUCCUGCUUUUCUUGGGUUGGGGCCACCUUGGCCUCUGUUAUUUUGAGUACCCCUGGACUCCAGGCUGGGAUCAGUCCUCAUGACUGACUGUGGUCACAAAGCAUCUUUCCCCUUUCAGGAUUCUUGACCAGAGACAAGGGGUUCUCCCCACUCCUCUCUGGUCCUGGCUCUCUGCCCUUGAGGUUAGGGUGACCCAAGAAUGAGUUCCAAGCCAGUCCCAUGCUAUUAGUUGAAGCAGCUCUCCAGCUUCCAGGCAUCUUGCUAGUGGAGGUCACUCCUGGAGUCAAUGGCCUGCAUCCCCCAAACUCAUCUCCUCACCUACAAAGGGGCUUCCUUCAUGGUGCCCCCUCCUUGCCAAUUCCCCUGUGUGCCCAAGCGCCUAGGCAACAGAUUCCAUCACUAGGUGGUGGGUAAGCCCUAUUUACUUACAUGAUGAUUACAGGGCAAGGAUUUAGAACCAGAUGGACCAGGAUCUGAAUCCCAGGUCAACCAGUUACUCUCAGACGAUCUGCAUACUCUCUCAACCUCGGUUUCCAAAUGUGUCCAUCUGUAUAAGAGUUCAUAUUGCAUGGGGUUGUGCGGGAAUGAAAGGGGGUGGUGCAGUGAUUCCCGGGGACAUGCAUGCUGGGCCAAGGACAAGUGAAGGUGAAGGAUAAACAUGGUAUAUCUUGCUGAAGUGUUAAUUUUACUAGGAGUAUUUAGGGAAAUAUGUUUUGAAGUAAAGUAAUAAAAUGUAAAAUUUCAACAAAUUUUAAAAAAGAAAGAGAAGACUGAAAGGAGUUUUUAUUCAUGGUUAUUGCUUUGGGUUAUACUCUAAACUUGGGAGUCUGGGGUUAUCUGGUUAAAGGUCACUCUCUCUGCCUUACAGAGUCUUUUGCUAGAAGAGUCUGAAACUGAUGUGUGUGAGGAGUUGGUUCCUGCCCAGCAAACCCUCUUCAGUGGAGCUCUCUCAGCUUUUCCACAGGUUUUUGCACAUUUGAGGUCUUUGAAUUAAGUCCCAGCUCUCCUGGGCUUCGACCACCAGUAUCAAGGCAAGAAGCAGACCUGGGGCUCCAGGGAGGGCUGGGGCAGGUGUUUUCUUGUGCAAAAUUACUAGCAGUAUCAAAAAGAGAAGCAGGGAGAGUCUCUUUUCACAGACUCCAGAGUGGGUGGGCAUGAGGAUAAGGCAGGUCCCUGUGGCUUACUCUAAUACUUGGAGGCCCAGCUCAAGGCCCUGGCAAGUUGCAGGCUGACUCUGAGAGUUCAGCUUGGGACAAUGCUCAGACAUUGGCUGCAGGAGCUAUGGACACAUUUGAGAGGAAAAAAGUAUGCACUCCAGAAUCCUGGAAAUGGGGAGGAGGAAGAAGGGGGGUUGUGCCUAGUAUGUUCCAGGCUCUGUGCUAGAUGACUUGCAUGUGAGGUUUCAGUUAAUACAGCAAUACGCUUAUGGUAAGAUAGCAAUAUCCCCAUGCCAAGAGAGGUCAUGAGGCUUCUGCUAGAAGUUACUUGUGGUUCCCAAUAAUUUUCUACUCCCUAAUCAGAGCUUUAGCUGGAGCAUGACUGCCUAGAAAGAAGACUACAUUUCCCAACCUCCUGUGUGGUUAGGUAUGGUCAUGUGACUGAGCUCUUGCCAAUGAGAAGUAAGUGUAGUGUCAUGUGGCUGAUUCUAGGAUCCUUCCCUAAGACAAACUUGUGUUUAUUCUUUCUGGCCCUUCUUUGUUCUCCCCUCUAUUUUGCUGUUUGGUAGGUGGUGGGUGACACCUUGAACCACAAGGACAAGGGCCACCCACUAGGAACCUCAGAAUAAUAAGCUGGAAGGAGACUGGGGCAACAUACCAGUCCCAGACUCCCACCGUCAGGCUUUUAUGUGAGAGGAAAAUAAAAUUCUACCUUGUUA